GAUGUGGGGAGGUGGUGAGAGGGAGGAGGGAGGGAACAGAAGAGAGAGGAAGAGAGAGAGAGAGGUUGACGGUUGCUAGGUGACGGGGCGCAUAUACUGAAUUUUAACCAAAGAACGGGCAAAAUGGGAGAGAGAGAGUGUGUGUGUGAGAGGGGAGAUAGUGAGAGAGAGGGGGAACAAGAAAGAGGAGAGGAGAGAGAGAGGGGGGGAGAGAUCGCUGGAUUCAUGUAGAACAUAUGUAUGUUUAGACAUAUUUUCCCAGCUUCUGUGUGUGUGCGUGUGUGUGUGCGUGCAUGUGUGAGUGAGUGAGUGAGUGUGAGGAGCCUGCGGGGACACACGCACGCGUCUCUCUCUCUCUCUCUCUCUCGCUCUCUCUCACACACACACACUCACACACACGCAAAAACGGAUACCUCAAAACGGAAGGAUGUGAAAAAGGAUGGAGGGACGCAGGGAAAGAGGGGGGAAAGGCUGGUGAAAAACACCCCCCCUUUUUUUCCCCACAUGCUUCGAUUCUAUCAUCCCGUCCAUCAUCAUCCUGCAAUCGGUGACUUCCUGUGCUCGACGUCCUGAGCCCUUCUCCACUACUGCCAUACCCGUUCAUCGUUUGUGUGAUGUAACACGAGAGUCUACUCGCUCCACGAAUGCCCAUCAUGCACCGCCACUGAUCUUUAUAAAACCACUCAUUAAGCUGUCAACUCCAUAAUUCACCAGCUCAGCCGCAUCUCCAGGCCACCUUCCAUGAUGACAUCUCAACCUCCAUCACCAUCAUGCCUGUCCGACCGUGUGUCCAUCCCAACUAAAUUCAGUGCUUCCCAGGGGCUAUUCCGAAAUCUGUUCCUCAAUUCAGCCUUAAAAUAAUAAUUGGUCUUAAAAUUUCUCAUCUCUUUUGCUUCUUUAUCCAGUCCACCUCUUUGAAAUCCCAAACAUGUACAUCUGUCGCAAUAUGAAGGAGUGUCAUAGUUAGUACAUUGGGUAUAAAAUGUCUACACAGCCUUGCACGCCAGGUUUCUGAGAUAAAAAAGGAGACCAAGAUAAUUCAUUUAAAAACAUUUUCUUACCUUAUACAACUCUUACAACCAAUUUGAAAAGUAUUUUUUCGAGAGGCGAAGUGACAAGACAAUGUGCUUGCACAAGUGUGCACACUCUAAUGACAAGGGAUGACUGUCUUCAGAAUAAGCCAAUCACAUUCAAGUUCAUGUAAAUUGGGAGUCGGGACAUGCCUGUGACUGUUUAAAAUGCCAAUCAUUUAAACCAAAUAAAUGAGUUGUACCAGAAGGCUUUUUUGACCUUUUUCUUUCCUUAUUCUUUUUUCCCUUUCUAGCAGAAGCCAGAAUGUUUUGAGCCAACACUCUGGAGUAUUUGGAACUGUUCAUAAUUCAUUUGUAAAGAAAGCCCCAAAACAUGAUGCUGCUACCAAAAUGCGUACCUAUAGAUAUGGUUCUUUUAAGAAAGAGCAGUGCUGCGUC